GGAGCAUAAAGCUCAACGCGAAUUGACAGUUGUUUGUGAUGUCUGUUAGUGUUAGUACAAUUCAGGCAAUUUUUCCUCUCAUGCAUUAGUAUGUGUGGUAUUGACGUUUGUUUGUUUUGGAGUCAAUUCAGAAGUCGCAAGUGAUAUGGAUGCCGAAAUUUUUAUUUCGCUGCUAUGGAACAAGUUAAGUGAUGAACCUUUCUGAUCAAAGCGAAGCAAUGGUCACAGGCGCACGAGGGCAUCAUGGAGUAUAUUGCCAUGGAUUGUGUUAUUAACGACAACUUCCCUUAUUCGAAAUCAGUAUUGAUCGAGAUCAAGGAUGUGAAAUAAAUUUCCAACUGGUUCAUCAAGGGCAAAAUUUUGAGCGACUUCAUCGAGCUGAAUGUGAAGUUCGUCCUGACCCGGAACACGAUCGACGAUGAGGUGUCCGCAACUCGACUCGAGGAAUUCAAACCAAAACUGUCCGAUCUGUGCUCGGCGAUCAAGAUGUUCCCCUGUCCGACACAAAAGUAUCGGUUCAGAUAGAGCGAAAUCAUCCAGUUGUUGGCAUUUCUGAUUCGUCAUUCAUCGCCCAGGAUCCGCUUAUUAACAGCUGUGCGUUGAAGCGAAAUGCGUUCGAGAAGCUGUCCUUGCUCCAGGAGUACGUGCACCAGGAAUUGCGACAUAUGUAUGCUGAGCGCCUUUCUGGACGAAGAGAUAGUGAGAUAGUGUUUGAAGGAAAAUUACUAUGUAAUUUUAAUUGUAAGAAUAAUUACUGCAAUGGUGGAAUAAAAUAGACAGUCUAGAAUGGAUGAAUAAGCAUAUACUCUCUCGUAGGUAAAUUCUAAGGAUAAUCACAGGAACUGAACACAUAUCACAUAUAAUUAAGUACCCCCCCCCCCUUGUUACGAAAUGAUAUAAUUAUUGGUUCAUCAAAUUGUACACUUUUUUCUAACCGUGUUUCUGAGACUGUUGAAAAAAUAUGUGGCAACAGAGCGUGUGAAAUAAAACAUGCUAGUUGUGUAUGUUUGGAAAUAAAAGAACUUAGCGUGUGGAUAAGUACACCGCAACUGGACUAAAGUUAGUUUUUGAAAAACUGUUUAUUACACCCAUGUUUUUUGUCCAGUAGGUUUUUCAUGUUUAUUUAACAUAAGAACACCGCUCUGAUGUGCAAGUAGUGUACGCGAGGCCUGGCGUACCAAACCCCGGCCGAAUGUACUCUCCAAUGGACACAAAUUUGGGAAGGCUCGUGGUUGCCGCAGCAGUUGUGGUUUCAGGAUUUCCCAUAUGCAAUCAGCUGCAUGUAGCUGAAAUAUUUGCAAUGUUUACCUGUCAUUCCACUAUAUUAAUAAAUGCAUGUAUGUGUAUGUGAAUGAUGUACGGUUUUGUGUAGUGCGAUGACUCUUUCACAUUGUUAUCCGGUUAUCCGUCCAAACCCAGCGGCGCUUUUUGAAACCGGUCCGGCUGAAACCGGAUAAUGUGUAAUCGCCCUAAGGGUGAUUAACAAAUAGGAGUACCAGGUAAAAAUUUUGAGAAAACAGUUUUUAGUAGUUUUAUGGCGAGCGGUCAAAGCAUUGUGGUCAAAGUAAUGAAUUUAUUUAAGGCACACCGGGCAAAUUGAAACAAUUUUUUCGAAGCUCAACUUGAAAGCUAUCUUAAAAAAUAAUCAAAUCAUAAAAUUCAAAUCUAUUUGCAGCAUAUACAAGGUAUGCGGAACUUUCGAUCAAAAAAAAAAAAAAUAGAGGUUCACACUGGAUGUUCCGAAAAAUACAUAUUUUCAAAAUUUCUAUUUUACGCUAGCUGACCCAAUGACCACAUUCACGUUUUCUUACUUAGCACACGUUCAUGGGUCCAAUCGCAGAACAGUUCAUUGAUUGAUCUUCUAAUGUACCCUUUAAUCAUCUCUUUCUAUAAAAUUCCUAGUACUUCUACCAAACUCGUCAUUAUAAUAUCAGAUUAUUUUCAGACACAAUUCUCAUUCAAGAUUUUUGAACCAAUUACAAAUAACGUGUUUCUCCGUUACAUGGAAUAAAUGUUUGAUACAGAAAAUAUAAUAGAAU